ACGUAGGGGGCGAGCGUUAUCCGGAAUUAUUGGGCGUAAAGAGUGCGUAGGUGGUCUUGUAAGCGGGGGGUGAAAGGCAUCGGCUUAACCGAUGUUAGCCCCCCGAACUGUGAGACUUGAGUACAGGAGAGGAAAGCGGAAUUCCUAGUGUAGCGGUGAAAUGCGUAGAUAUUAGGAGGAACACCAGUGGCGAAGGCGGCUUUCUGGACUGAAACUGACACUGAGGCACGAAAGCGUGGGGAGCAAACAG
rnacentral:rRNA from 1 species